GACGAACGCUGGCGGCGUGCCUAAUACAUGCAAGUAGAACGCUGAAGAGAGGAGCUUGCUCUUCUUGGAUGAGUUGCGAACGGGUGAGUAACGCGUAGGUAACCUGCCUGGUAGCGGGGGAUAACUAUUGGAAACGAUAGCUAAUACCGCAUAAAAUUGAUUAUUGCAUGAUACUUAAUUGAAAGAUGCAAUUGCAUCACUACCAGAUGGACCUGCGUUGUAUUAGCUAGUUGGUGAGGUAACGGCUCACCAAGGCGACGAUACAUAGCCGACCUGAGAGGGUGAUCGGCCACACUGGGACUGAGACACGGCCCAGACUCCUACGGGAGGCAGCAGUAGGGAAUCUUCGGCAAUGGGGGGAACCCUGACCGAGCAACGCCGCGUGAGUGAAGAAGGUUUUCGGAUCGUAAAGCUCUGUUGUAAGAGAAGAACGGGUGUGAGAGUGGAAAGUUCACACUGUGACGGUAUCUUACCAGAAAGGGACGGCUAACUACGUGCCAGCAGCCGCGGUAAUACGUAGGUCCCGAGCGUUGUCCGGAUUUAUUGGGCGUAAAGCGAGCGCAGGCGGUUAGAUAAGUCUGAAGUUAAAGGCUGUGGCUUAACCAUAGUAUGCUUUGGAAACUGUUUAACUUGAGUGCAGAAGGGGAGAGUGGAAUUCCAUGUGUAGCGGUGAAAUGCGUAGAUAUAUGGAGGAACACCGGUGGCGAAAGCGGCUCUCUGGUCUGUAACUGACGCUGAGGCUCGAAAGCGUGGGGAGCAAACAGGAUUAGAUACCCUGGUAGUCCACGCCGUAAACGAUGAGUGCUAGGUGUUAGGCCCUUUCCGGGGCUUAGUGCCGCAGCUAACGCAUUAAGCACUCCGCCUGGGGAGUACGACCGCAAGGUUGAAACUCAAAGGAAUUGACGGGGGCCCGCACAAGCGGUGGAGCAUGUGGUUUAAUUCGAGGCAACGCGAAGAACCUUACCAGGUCUUGACAUCCCUCUGACCGCUCUAGAGAUAGAGUUUUCCUUCGGGACAGAGGUGACAGGUGGUGCAUGGUUGUCGUCAGCUCGUGUCGUGAGAUGUUGGGUUAAGUCCCGCAACGAGCGCAACCCCUAUUGUUAGUUGCCAUCAUUCAGUUGGGCACUCUAGCGAGACUGCCGGUAAUAAACCGGAGGAAGGUGGGGAUGACGUCAAAUCAUCAUGCCCCUUAUGACCUGGGCUACACACGUGCUACAAUGGCUGGUACAACGAGUCGCAAGCCGGUGACGGCAAGCUAAUCUCUGAAAGCCAGUCUCAGUUCGGAUUGUAGGCUGCAACUCGCCUACAUGAAGUCGGAAUCGCUAGUAAUCGCGGAUCAGCACGCCGCGGUGAAUACGUUCCCGGGCCU
rnacentral:rRNA from 1 species